UGGAGCCUGUCUGAUUAGGGUUGAGUGGACAUAGUGGGCUCAAUAAAAAAAAUAAAAACAACAAUCAAAUUCUUUUAUCUGAAACCAAUUUAUCUAGAAUCUAAUUUGACCUGCACAUAAGUCCCACAAAAUUGGACUUAAUCAGAGCGGACCCCAUUGGACACAACUAAGAAAUUAAUUCAAAAUUUGGGUCUCUCAGAGCCAAUUUGAUCCAAUUUAAAAAGUUAAUGUAUUAGGUCUAGCUGUUAGAUUGAAAUCACUUAUUCCUAACCUAACACACUUGCAAAUCGAAACAUUCUAGUGCUAUGCAAUUCAAAAAAUUUCAAUCAAAUGUCUAGAAAAUUUUGAAUUAUCAAUAUUUUCUAUCUGUUUAGGACUCCAUGAACAAAAACAAUCAUGACAAUUGUUUUAAAUAUUUCUCAUUAAUACGAUGCCACUUGCCCAUCAAACAC
rnacentral:lncRNA from 1 species